rnacentral:rRNA from 1 species
ACCCCGGCCCGAUUCCUACGGGAGGCAGCAGUGGGGAAUUUUGGAAAAUGGGCGCAAGCCUGAUCCCAGCCAUGCCGCGUGUCUGAAGAAAGCCUUCGGGUUGUAAAGGACUUUUGUUAGGGAAAGAAAAGGAGCGGUUAAUACCCGUUUCUGCUGACGGUACCUAAAGAAAUAGCACCGGGCUACUACGUGCCAGCAGCCGCGGUAAUACGUAGGGUGCGAGCGUUAAUCGGAAUUACUGGGGCGUAAAGCGAGCGCAGACGGUUACUUAAGCAGGAUGUGAAAUCCCCGGGCUCAACCUGGGAACUGCGUUCUGAACUGGGUAGCUAGAGUAUGUCAGAGGGGGGUAGAAUUCCACGUGUAGCAGUGAAAUGCGUAGAGAUGUGGAGGAAUACCGAUGGCGAAGGCAGCCCCCUGGGAUAAUACUGACGUUCAUGCUCGAAAGCGUGGGUAGCAAACAGGAUUAGAUACCCUGGUAGUCCACGCCCUAAACGAUGUCGAUUAGCUGUUGGGCAGCUUGACUGCUUAGUAGCGUAGCUAACGCGUGAAAUCGACCGCCUGGGGAGUACGGUCGCAAGAUUAAAACUCAAAGGAAUUGACGGGGACCCGCACAAGCGGUGGAUGAUGUGGAUUAAUUCGAUGCAACGCGAAGAACCUUACCUGGUCUUGACAUGUACGGAACCUUCCAGAGACGGAAGGGUGCCUUCGGGAGCCGUAACACAGGUGCUGCAUGGCUGUCGUCAGCUCGUGUCGUGAGAUGUUGGGUUAAGUCCCGCAACGAGCGCAACCCUUGUCAUUAGUUGCCAUCAUUCAGUUGGGCACUCUAAUGAGACUGCCGGUGACAAACCGGAGGAAGGUGGGGAUGACGUCAAGUCCUCAUGGCCCUUAUGACCAGGGCUUCACACGUCAUACAAUGGUCGGUACAAAGGGUAGCCAAGCCGCGAGGCGGAGCCAAUCUCAUAAAACCGAUCGUAGUCCGGAUUGCACUCUGCAACUCGAGUGCAUGAAGUCGGAAUCGCUAGUAAUCGCAGGUCAGCAUACUGCGGUGAAUACGUUCCCGGGUCUUGUACACACCGCCCGUC